rnacentral:rRNA from 1 species
CGCGUAGGCGGAUUGUCAAGUCAGAGGUGAAAGCCCUGGGCUCAACCUGGGAACUGCCUUUGAAACUAACGGUCUAGAGUCCGAGAGAGGAUGGCGGAAUUCCCAGUGUAGAGGUGAAAUUCGUAGAUAUUGGGAAGAACACCAGUGGCGAAGGCGGCCAUCUGGCUCGGUACUGACGCUGAGGCGCGAAAGCGUGGGGAGCAAACA